AGCAGUAGCCGCGGUAAUACGGAGGAGGCUAGCGUUGUUCGGAAUUACUGGGCGUAAAGCGUACGUAGGCGGCUUUGUAAGUUAGAGGUGAAAGCCUGGAGCUCAACUCCAGAAUUGCCUUUAAGACUGCAUCGCUUGAACGUCGGAGAGGUGAGUGGAAUUCCGAGUGUAGAGGUGGAAUUCGUAGAUAUGCGGAGGAACACCGAUGGCGAAGGCAGCCCCCUGGGCCAACACUGACGCUCAUGCACGAAAGCGUGGGGAGCAAACAGGAUUAGAGACCCCCGUAGUCCCUGUCUCUUAUAC
rnacentral:rRNA from 1 species